rnacentral:rRNA from 1 species
AGGAUGAACGCUGGCGGCGUGCUUAACACAUGCAAGUCGAACGAUGAAGGCUGGAGUUUGCUCUGGCUGGAUUAGUGGCGAACGGGUGAGUAACACGUGAGUAACCUGCCCCUGACUCUGGGAUAAGCGCUGGAAACGGCGUCUAAUACCGGAUACGAGCUUCCACCGCAUGGUGAGGAGCUGGAAAGAAUUUCGGUCUGGGAUGGACUCGCGGCCUAGUCAGCUUGUGGUGAGGUAAUGGCUCACCGAAGGCGACGACGGGUAGCCGGCCUGAGAGGGUGACCGGCCACGACGUGGACUGACGACGACCGGCCAGACCUCCGUACGGGAGGCGAGCAGUGGGAAUAGUUGC